rnacentral:rRNA from 1 species
GACGAACGCUGGCGGCGUGCUUAACACAUGCAAGUCGAACGCUGAAGCUCAGCUUUUGUUGGGUGGAUGAGUGGCGAAAGGGUGAGUAACACGUGAGUAACCUGCCCCCUUCUUUGGGAUAACGCCCGGAAACGGGUGCUAAUACUGGAUAUUCACUGGUCUUCGCAUGGGGGUUGGUGGAAAGGGUUUUUCUGGUGGGGGAUGGGCUCGCGGCCUAUCAGCUUGUUGGUGGGGUGAUGGCCUACCAAGGGUUUGACGGGUAGCCGGCCUGAGAGGGUGACCGGUCACAUUGGGACGGAGAUACGGCCCAGACUCCUACGGGAGGCAGCAGUGGGGAAUAUUGCACAAUGGGCGCAAGCCUGAUGCAGCGACGCCGCGUGAGGGAUGGAGGCCUUCGGGUUGUGAACCUCUUUCGCUCAUGGUCAAGCCGCAACAAUGGUUGUGGUGAGGGUAGUGGGUAAAGAAGCGCCGGCUAACUACGUG